AGCAGCCGCGGUAAUUCCAGCUCCAAUAGCGUAUAUUAAAGUUGUUGCAGUUAAAAGCUCGUAGUUGAAUUUCGGGAUUGACGUGAUGGUCGUGCCUUAAGGGGUAUGAACUGUUGCUGUUGAUUUCUCACCUUCUGGAGAAACUUGAUGUCCUUAAUUGGGUGUCUUGCGGAUCCAGGACCUUUACCUUGAAAAAUUGAGUGUUUAAAGCAGGCAUUUUGCUCGAAUACAUUAGCAUGGAAUAAUAGAAUAGGACGGCAUGGUUCUAUUUUGUUGGUUUCUAGGAUCACCGUAAUGAUUAAUAGGGAUAGUUGGGGGCAUUAGUAUUCAAUUGUCAGAGGUGAAAUUCUUGGAUUUAUUGAAGACUAACUACUGCGAAAGCAUUUGCCAAGGAUGUUUUCAUUAAUCAAGAACGAAAGUUAGGGAUACGAAGACGAUCAGAUACCGUCGUAGUCUUAACCAUAAACUAUGCCGACUAGGAAUCAGACGAUAGUUUAAGUUUUUAAUUGUACUUCGUUUA
rnacentral:misc_RNA from 1 species